UGGCGGCGUGCUUAACACAUGCAAGUCGAACGGAGAGAGAUGGAAGCUUGCUUCUAUCGAUCUUAGUGGCGAACGGGUGAGUAACGCGUAACCAACCUGCCCUUCAGAGGGGGAUAACAACGGGAAACCGUUGCUAAUACCGCGUACGAAUGAACUUCGGCAUCGAAGCUCAUUGAAAGGUGGCCUCUAUUUAUAAGCUAUCGCUGAAGGAGGGGGUUGCGUCUGAUUAGCUAGUUGGAGGGGUAACGGCCCACCAAGGCAAUGAUCAGUAGCCGGUCUGAGAGGAUGAACGGCCACAUUGGGACUGAGACACGGCCCAAACUCCUACGGGAGGCAGCAGUGGGGAAUCUUCCGCAAUGGACGAAAGUCUGACGGAGCAACGCCGCGUGAGUGAUGACGGCCUUCGGGUUGUAAAGCUCUGUUAAUCGGGACGAAUGGUCCUUGUGUGAAUAAUGCAAGGAUUUGACGGUACCGGAAUAGAAAGCCACGGCUAACUACGUGCCAGCAGCCGCGGUAAUACGUAGGUGGCAAGCGUUGUCCGGAAUUAUUGGGCGUAAAGCGCGCGCAGGCGGUUUCAUAAGUCUGUCUUAAAAGUGCGGGGCUUAACCCCGUGAGGGGAUGGAAACUAUGGAACUGGAGUAUCGGAGAGGAAAGCGGAAUUCCUAGUGUAGCGGUGAAAUGCGUAGAUAUUAGGAAGAACACCAGUGGCGAAGGCGGCUUUCUGGACGACAACUGACGCUGAGGCGCGAAAGCCAGGGGAGCGAACAAGAGUAGAUACCCCGGUAGUCCUGGCCGUAAA
rnacentral:rRNA from 1 species